rnacentral:rRNA from 1 species
AUUGAACGCUGGCGGCAGGCCUAACACAUGCAAGUCGAGCGUGCGGCGGACGGGUGAGUACUGUAUGGGGACUGCCCGAUAGCGGGGGAUAACUCCUGGAAACGGUGGCUAAUACCGCAUACUGUCCGAUACGCCAUAUGGGAUUGGCUAGUAGGUCAGGUAAGGGCUUACCUAGGAGACGAACCCUAGCUGAACUGAGAGGGUGAUCAGCCACACUGGGACUGAGACACGGCCCAGACUCCGACGGAGGCAGAAGUGGGGAAGAUUGCACAAUGGGCGAAAGCCUGAUGGAGCAAUGCCGCAUGAAUGAAGAAGGUUCUAGGGUUGUAAAGUACUUUCAGUAGGGAGGCGUUACCGACAGAGGAAGCAACGGCUAACUCCGUGCCAGCCGCCGCGGUAAUUC